UCUGAGCCAGUGCUGUCAGAUGAACUCUCCAGAAUCUGCUCAGCUGGAGUUGGGAAUACCAGCCAGAAAUAGCCAGCCCUGCUCAGAUGCCCCUGCAGUCAUGUCAGGAAGUGGUGUCGAGUUGGCAGCAGUAUAUACCAUCCCAGAGGAGGCUGUAAAAAGCUCAGCAAGUGGGAGAUGACAGAGCGACUCUGCUGCCUCUGCUUAGGAAGCAGGAGAAUUCUGAUAGGGAUAUAAAUUAUUGGAAGAGUGUCCAUCUCAGGAAUUGCAGACAGACAGAGCAGCUCUGAGGAAAUGCAAACUGUCAAAGAUGGUUUGUUUCAGCUGAGGCUUGAACAACAGCAGAAGUAGAAAGGAGCAAAGCACACUGGAGUCACUGUAUGUAAGUAUUCUCAAAUCAUUUCUUAGACAGUUCACUUACCUGAU